GAAAUCAACCGAGAUUCUGUGAGUAGUGGCGAGCGAAAGCGGAAGAGGCUAAACCGAGAGGAGCAAUCCUUUCGGGGUUUAGGACUGCAUUUAGUACAACGAUUGUUAACCGAACAGCAUGGGAAGGCUGAUCAAAGAAGGUGAGAAUCCUGUAGGUGAAAAUGAAAGUUGACGAGCAGUAUCCAAAGUACCGCGGGGCACGUGAAAUCCCGUGGGAAGAUGGGGGGACCAUCCUCCAAGCCUAAAUACUACCUGAUGACCGAUAGCGAAAAGUACUGUGAAGGAAAGGUGAAAAGCACCCCGGGAGGGGAGUGAAAGAGAACCUGAAACCCUGUGCUUACAAGCACUUAGAGCACGUCAAAGUGUGAUAAGGUACCUAUUGUAGAAUGGUCCGGCGAGUUAUUGUAUGCAGCGAGGUUAAGUAGUUCAGCUACGGAGCCGAAGUGAGAGCGAGUGUUAACAGCACGUUCAGUUGCAUGCAAUAGACCCGAAACCGGGUGACCUAUCCAUGUCCAGGAUGAAGUGAGGGUAAAACCUCAUGGAGGUCCGAACCCACUCCCGUUGAAAUGGUAGGGGAUGAGGUGUGGAUAGCGGAGAAAUUCCAAUCGAACCCGGAUAUAGCUGGUUCUCCCCGAAAUAGUUUUAGGACUAGCCUCGUGAUUAAGAUUAUCGGAGGUAAAGCACUGAAUGGCCUAGGGGUCGAGAGAUUACCGAAGCCUAUCAAACUCUGAAUGCCGAAUAAUCAUGCACGGGAGUCAGACUGUGUGAGAUAAGUUUCAUAGUCGAAAGGGAAACAGCCCAGACCUACAGCUAAGGUCCCAAAGUACGUUUAAGUGGAAAACGAUGUGAAAUUGCGUAGACAACCAGGAUGUUGGCUUAGAAGCAGCCAUACAUUAAAAGAGUGCGUAAUAGCUCACUGGUCGAGUGACUUUGCGCGGAAAAUUUAACGGGGCUAAAACGUACACCGAAGCUUAGGCUUGUCACAAUGUGACAGGGGUAGGGGAGCGUUGAAUGAGGGGUGAAGUCGUAGCGAAAGCGACGGUGGACUUCAUUCAAGUGAGAAUGCCGGAAUGAGUAGCGAGAAUUAUGUGAGAAUCAUAAUGGCCGAAAGCCUAAGGUUUUUGGAGGAAGGUUCGUCCGCUCCAAGUAAGUCGGAAGCUAAGGUGAGGCUGAAAAGCGUAGCCGAUGCACAAACGGUUGAAAUUCCGUUACCACAGAAAGAUUUAAACUAAGGGACACUUUUGAAGAGCUGAUGCCGGGUGUUGGUUACCCCGGUCGUAAGGGAACGAAAUCAAGUAGUGAAGUCAGCGUGGAUGAAGGCGAGAAAAGCUUAGUGUAUAUCUUAUGUGUCCGUACCGCAAACCGACACAGGUAGGUAGGAAGAGGAUUCUAAGGCCAACGGGAGAAGGGUAGUUAAGGAACUCGGCAAAAUGUCCCCGUAACUUCGGAAUAAGGGGAGGUUUCUACGGAAACCCGCAGAGAAUAGUCCCAGGCAACUGUUUAUCAAAAACACAGCUCUAUGCUAAAUCGAAAGAUGACGUAUAUGGGGUGACGCCUGCCCGGUGCCGGAAGGUUAAGAGGAGGAGUGAGAGCCCUGAAUCGAAGCCCCGGUAAACGGCGGCCGUAACUAUAACGGUCCUAAGGUAGCGAAAUUCCUUGUCAGGUAAGUUCUGACCCGCACGAAUGGCGUAAUGAUCUGGGAGCUGUCUCAACUGCCCGCCCGGCGAAAUUGUAGUACCGGUGAAGAUGCCGGUUACCCGCGACUAGACGGAAAGACCCCAUGGAGCUUUACUGUAGCUUAAUAUUGGAUUUCGGCAUUUCAUGUACAGGAUAGGUGGGAGACUAGGAAACAUAGGCGUCAGCUUAUGUGGAGUCGUCCUUGGGAUACCACUCUUGGAGUGCUGAAAUUCUAACCUGCAGCCCUGAAUCGGGUCGGGGGACAUUGUUAGGUGGGCAGUUUGACUGGGGCGGUCGC
rnacentral:rRNA from 1 species